GGUCUCAUAGGAAAUACGUACCUCUGCGCACUUUUUUGCAGCGCCACAAAUAUGUACCACCAGGUACGUAUUGCUAUAGUUCUGAAACAAAAACGUCCACUGGGGUCGCUAAAGAGAAGGACAUGUUACAUUUCGAUUAACAGUCAGAGGUUCCCGACAUAUGAAAGUGAUAGAAAAGCAGCAGAGAUGCCAGGAAGCACACAAAAAAUAUGCACAGGGUGCAACAACCUAAUAAGUGUUGCUUAUAAGACCUGCCCGCAUUGCAAACAAGUGCAGCCAUAUAAAGCAAAAGUUGCAUCUCUUCGCUGCAACUUUCAAAAUAAAAAAUCGGAAUGGAAGGCAUCGCUGAAGAAAAACAACAACAGGACGGUCGUCCUUAAUAGCAGCCAUGUGUUGGUAAGGUUAGGUCAGGGCUAAGGGAUUUAUGAAGUGAAGUCAGUUAUCACAGUAAAGUUUAACAGUCAAUAGCCAUGUUUCCAUGUGAUUGUAAAGCAAACUUUUGAAAUGUUGCAAAAAAAAGAGAAAAAUGUAAUCAAAUGUGAAUCAGGUGUGUUUCCAUCAACUGGUUUGGAGUAAAUAAAUUAAGAUCCCGCGAGGUGAUCCUCCCGCACUGAGGACGCCCCUAACCUGCCCUGUUUACCACCUGCUUUUGGGCUGCAUUCAUAAACAUCCCGCCCUUUAGGAGACGGGACCUCGGCGCUACAGGGGCCAUUACCGGUGUGGUGCCAAAUUUAAAAAACCUGCCAGAUUAAGAUCACCCUAGUAAUGGAAGUUUUGGAGUAGGUUUGGGUUAGGAUUAGGGGUGGGGUUAAGAUUCAGAUAGACUUGAGGGUGAGGGUGGUCAUAAUUUGGCAGGGAGUCGAAAUUCAGCACGACACUGGCAUCACACCAUCCACAGGCUGAGCCUUGAUCAGAAGGACUCAGGCCCCUGAGUGACACCAGGCAAGCGGUCUCCAAUACACCACAUUUCCUACACUGCCUGUCAGACAGGGUUUCAGUGCUGGGCUCUUCCCUCUUAGCUUGCCGCUACUGAGUGAAUCCUGGUUAGUUACUUUUCCUCCGCUUAGCAUUGUGCCUGACUGCGUAAACAGCUGAUCAGUCAUGUGAGUUUAAUGUUCGCUACGUCAGAACUUGGGCAAAGCUGUUUCAAUGUGCCGUUCAGCGCAUUAACUCUUUUUUGAAAAAGGCAAAAACCACCUCAAGCGAGCAUGACCUUUUUUUUUUUUGACUAAAUAUGUUUUUUUUCCAAUGCGAUACUUCAAAAAGCAUAUAAAAAUACAUUGAUGGAAAUAUGGCUGCUGAAGCAGAAAAAAUUAUCACAAUGAUAGGAUUUUUUAAAUAUGUAGUUAUAAACCAAUAGUAAUUAAUUUCUUGAUAUAAGUUGUUUAUCAGAUAUGACCAUUAAACAGCUGUCAUGAAAUUAAUGUUAAAAAUUAAAUCAUUGUAUUCUGUGCAUGUUUUUUUUUUUUUAUGUUUUUAUUUCAGCUUGACAAACUUGCUGCACUUGAUUUCUUCCCCGUACUACUGUUGGGGAAGAAAUCCCGGGGAACCUUGGUGGCCGAUGUCAUCCUAGGCGGGGAUUAUAUUUUGGAACAUGAUUUGCUUCAGAAAGUUAAGCUAAUGUAUGAAGCUGUGCUCAAGAUUCAUUUUCAAAGACAGAAGAAGGCCACAAGUAGCACAGAAACCACCAGCCCUCCAGAAGCUACUGGCACCGAUACCAUCAGACCUCCAGAAGCUACUGGCACCGAUACCAUCAGCCCUCCAGAAGCUAAUGGCACUGAUACCAAUAGACCUCCAGAAGCUACUGGUACCGAUACCAUCAGACCUCCAGAAGCUACUGGCACCGAUACCAUCAGCCCUCCAGAAGCUACUGGCACCGAUACCAUCAGCCCUCCAGAAGCUACUGGCACCGAUACCA